UCCAGUGUAGAUAUGGUGUAAAUUGUGAUCUGUCUUGGCUGAAGACUUGUGACUGGUUCAACUGAGACGAUGUUAAUACCAGAUAAUAGUGAUCUCAAUUCUUUAUGCAUCACAUAUAAUUAAUAUUUGUUUGUUGUGUUGGCUGUUAUGUUGGUUUCAUAGGUGAAUGAGGACUCUGUGAGCCAUACUCUUCGAAUGAUUCAUCCCAAGCUAGAGUAUCAGCUGAUUUUGGCCCAAAAAGUUCAGCUUAUUGAUGCUUUAAAGGAGCUGCAGGUGCAUGAGGGGAAUGUAGAUUUUCUGAUUCCAGAGUAUCGUAGUAUACUGGAUGAAUCUGCCCAGCUCUUAGAAGAAUAUAAGAAGCAACCAGCUCACUUAGAAAGAUUGUAUGGUAUGAUCACUGAUCUGUUCAACGACAAGUUCAAAUUUAAAGGACAAAAUGUCAAAACAAAAGUUUCACAGCUGCUUGCAAUUUUGAACAACUAUGAACUUGAUUCAUUGAUGGAAUUUUUCAGUGAAGCUUAAUGGAAUGUAAAAUUAAAGCACUUUUUGGGAAUGCGUUUUCUGAAUUUUGUUUUUGCAAUAAACAUUUGGUAUUUUAUAGGGAUCAAGCUGAUUGUACCA